AUUGAACGCUGGCGGCGGGCCUAACACAUGCAAGUCGAGCGAGCGGCGGACGGGUGAGUAAUACGUGGGAAACUGCCUGUUGUAGGGGGGUAACUCCUGGAAAAGUUGGCUCAUCCCACGUACCAUACGAUGUGCCCCGAUGCGAUUAGCUAGUUGGUGGGGUAACGGCUCACCUCGGCGCCGAUCCCUAGCUGGUCUGAGAGGGUGACCAGCCGCCUGGGAGCUGGGACAGGGACCAGAGUCCUACGGGAGGGACCAGUGGGGAAUAUUGGACAAGGGGCGGAAGCAUGAUGCAGCCAGGCCGCGUGUGUGAAGGAGGCCUUGUGGUUGGAAAGCACGUUCAGCGGGUAGGCGUUACCCGCAUAAGAAGCACCGGCUAACUCCGUGCCAGCAGCCGCGGUAAUAC
rnacentral:rRNA from 1 species